rnacentral:lncRNA from 1 species
UUUCAAUUUCCAAAUCAGGUGCUCCGCAGGGCGCAGCUUUAUACGACCGCAGAGGUCGAACCCUGAACAGUUGGGGCAAGUAUGGACAAAACAUUCAAGCGUGAUACAGCUCUGAAUUUGGAUUGUGAUCAAAUUUUUGACAUUACAUGGGUUUUUUUUCCACAAAACAAAUGUCAAGAUUUUGCAAAUCAAUUAAAGAUUUCUUCUUCAAACUUUUUAAAUCUAAAAUUAAAUAGUUGACACAGCAUAGGUUUCUGACACAGAAUGAAUGUGGUCUAAUGAACUUAAAAAGUUUUUUUUUUUUGCCUUUGAGCAAUUCACUAUGCUGUUGAAUAUUAAUCCUCUCAAAAAAAUGUUUGAAGAAAUUUUCUUUUUGUUUAUGAAAUCUGAAAUGAGAAAAAUUUAACCCCCCCCCUUUUUUUUUCACAUCCCUGUUUCCCUUUUUCCAAAACUGAUAUCAAUUCAAAUUUCUAAUGGAGUUUGCAACAAUAACUACUCUUUUAAAUACAUCAUAAAAUAUUAAAAUGUAAAAUAAAGUGCUUGUUAUCACUGAAUGGUAAAGAUUGGUUGGUAGUAAAAGUGAAUAUACAUUGUUUAUUGUAUAAAACAAUAAAAAAAACUUCAUCAGCA